ensembl:lncRNA
GGAAGAGUGGGGGAGUGUGAGAGGGAGGGGGAGAAGGAAAGUAGAAAACGGUAGAGAGGACCAAGAGAAUAAGAGGUACAGAAAGGAAGGAGUGUCUACAAGAGCUAGUGUCUGUACUCAGUGGGGUUUUCCUGUUUGCUGUGCUGCCUCCAUUUACUUGUCACCUGCGGCAGGCUAGACUUAACAAGCAUCCUCAGUCUCAACAAGAGAACUACCUGCUGGGACAUCACAAGCAUCAGAGCCUUACCUGAUUGCGCUAUAUUUGAAGCCAUGGAACAAGCAGAGAAUAAAACCACCUCGCCACAAAAGCAGAAUCGGUCCAAAAAUCGAUCCAAAUCGACAGAUGAGGUGCAGCAAGCAAAAAAGGCCUUUCACACACCACAGAAGUCUCUUCCAGCUAAACCAGAGACGGAGAAGUUGGAGGCGGACACCGAGGAGCUUAGCGCUUCAACCGAGGAGCUAAAAUAAUGGCAUCACUCAGACUGGGGUUACAGGAAAAUUUACAUAAAUCUACAAAAUGCAUCUUGUUUAUACCACUGAUACCACUAAUACCAUGUCUUCUGCCAUAAGAUGUGUAUUCUUGCAUUAUUCAUUAGUCAGUCAAAACAAUAAAACAUAUCACAAUUCUGUUGAAAACAGCGAAAAGUUUGAAGGGAUUUUUCCCCCUAACGCAGAUCUUAGCCCUAGUCUAAAAUUGUUGAGGCAUGAACCCUGGAUUUUAUUUAUUUAUGACGAUGAGUAAACAAUCAUCAGUGGAUCCUGUCAAAUGUUUGUCUGUAAUAUAAACUGCAUAAAUUCUAUGCUUGUAAUGAUCUAUAAAGCAUUACUUCACAAACCUUUGGUAGUUUUUUUGAAAAAAAAAAAAUCUUUUCACAUAAUAUUUUAGAAAGGAAUAUGAUUGUUCCCAUGAUGAAUUUUGGAACUAUUACACCACCAGCGUUGUCAUGUUGAGUGUUUAAAGCUUGACACUCCCCAUGGUAUGUUGCAAUGGCCAAUUAUGAAGCAUUAUUGUUUUAAACUCAGGGAUUAUCCCAGCACCCUUUCAAGGCAAAAAGCAGUUUGAGGCUCUUGCAGGAGGUAAGUGAAGCUGUGAGGCCUGAUAGGCUGUCAAGUCACACACACAUCCUCUCACACACACACACACGCACACACACACACGCACACACACACUGAAAGCUCCUAUCACUGGGACGUGGAAAG